ensembl:lncRNA
UGUGUGUGCACGUCCGUGUCGGUGCAUUAGUUUAUGUAAGAAGUGUAAUCCAACAAACUAUGGUAACGUUACAGCGCAUGGUAGCUGGGGUUUAUUAUCGGUCCUUGUUUUACAGACAUUUGAACAUACGAGAGCAGUAACCAUGAUGGCGUUUUGUGUUAAUUGAUUCAAAGGGGUAUGAUGAAACUUGUCAGGAUGGCUGAGCGGUCUAAGGCGCUGCGUUCAGGUCGCAGUCUCCUCUGGAGGCGUGGGUUUGAAUCCCACUUCUGACAUUACAUUUGGAUUUCGUUGAUUGUGAUUAUCUGUUCAAACUUUGUAAUAUGGAGAACAUUUGGAAAAGGUAAGGAGG